UUCAGAGUUUUUCAUCAAUAUGUUGUAUUUUUAAAUAAUUUUCUUAAAAACUCUUAUUUUGGAAAGUUUUUUAUUUUUGAUAAAUACUGUAGAUUUGGGUUUGUGAUUUAAAAAUUAGGAUAACAAGAGUUUUAUGGAUAGAUGAGUAUUCUUUAAGAAGUUUUCGUCAAUAGGUUGUAUUUUUAAUCAUUUUUGUAAAAACUGUAAGGAAAGUUUUCAUUUUUUAGAGAAAUAUUGUAGAUUAGGGUUUGUGAUUUAGAAAUUAGGAUAAUAAGAGUAUUUGUGGAUUGAUGAGUAUUCUUUCAGAUUUUUCAUGAAAAUGUUGUAUUUUAAAACAAUUUUCUUUAAAAUGCUUUUUUGGAAAGUUUUAAUUUAUUAGAGAAAUACUGUAGAUUUGAGUUCAUGAUUUAGAAAUUAGGAUAACAAGAAUAUCUGUAAAUAGCUGAGUAUUUUUUUUAGAGUUUUUCAUCAAUAGGUUGUAUUUUUAAAUAAUAUUUCUUAAAAACUGUUACUUUUGGAAAGUUUUCAUUUUUUUGAGAAAUACUGUAGAUUUGGGUUUGUUAAUUAGAAAUUAGGAUAAAAAGAAUAUUUGUGAACAUAUGAGUAUUCUUUAAGAAUUUUUCAUCAAAAUUUUGUAUUUUUAAAUAGUUUUCUUAAAAGCUGCUAUUUUUGGAAAGUUUUCAUUUUCUAGAAAUUUUUUAUAGAUUUGAGUUUGUGAUUUAGAAAUUAGAAUAACAAGAAUAUUUAUGGAUAGUUGAGUAUUCUCUCAAAUUUUUCCUGAAUAGACUAUAUUUUAAAAUAAUUUUCUUGAAAACUACUAUUAUUGAAUUUUUUCAUUUAUUAGAGAAAUACUGUAUACUUGAGUUUAUAAUUUAGAAAUUAGGAUAACAAGAAUAUUUGAAAAUAGUUGACUAUUCUUUAAGAAUUUUUCAUCAAUAUGUUGUAUUUUUAAAUAAUUUCUUUAAAACCUGCUAUUUUUGGAAAGUUUUCAUUAUUUUUAGGUAAAUUUAAUAGAUUUAAGUUUGUGAUUCUUAAAACCUGCUAUUUUUGGAAAGUUUUCAUUUUUUGAAAAAUAAUGUGGAUUUGGGUUUGUGAUUUAGAAAUUAGGAUAACAAGAAUAUUUGUGGAUUGAUGAGUAUUCUUUCAGAUUUUUCAUGAAAAUGUUGUAUUUUAAAACAAUUUUCUUUAAAAUGCUUUUUUGGAAAGUUUUAAUUUAUUAGAGAAAUACUGUAGAUUUGAGUUCAUGAUUUAGAAAUUAGGAUAACAAGAAUAUUUGAGGAUAAAUGAGUAUUCUUUGAGAAUUUUUCAUCAGUAUGUUGUAAUUUCAAAUAAUUUUCUUAAAAGCUGCUAUUUUUGGAAAGUUUUUGUGGAUAAAUGAUUAUUCUUUCAGAAUUUUUCAUCAAUAUGUUGUACUUUUAAAUAAUUUCCUUAAAACCUACUAUUUUUGGAAAGUUUUCAUUUUUUAAAAAUAAUGUGGAUUUGGGUUUGUGAUUUAGAAAUUAGGAUAACAAGAAUAUUUGUGGAUAGAUGAGUAUUCUUUCAGAAUUUUUCAUCAAUAUUUUAUAUUUUUAAAUAAUUUCCUUAAAACCUGCUAUUUUUGGAAAGUUUUCAUUUUUUGAGAAAUAAUGUGGAUUUGGGUUUGUGAUUUAGAAAUUAGGAUAACAAGAAUAUUUGUGGAUAGAUGAGUAUUCUUUCAGAAUUUUUCAUCAAUAUGUUGUAUUUUUAAAUAAUUUUUUUAAGACCUGCUAUUUUUGGAAGGUUUUCAUUUUUUGAGAAAUAAUGUGGAUUUGGGUUUGUGAUUUAGAAAUUAGGAUAACAAGAAUAUUUGUGGAUAGAUGAGUAUUCUUUCAGAAUUUUUCAUCAAUAUGUUGUAUUUUUAAAUAAUUUUCUUAAAACCUGCUUUUUUUGGAAAGUUUUCAUUUUUUGAGAAAUAAUGUGGAUUUGGGUUUGUGAUUUAAAAAAUAGGAUAACAAGAAUAUUUGAGGAUAGAUGAGUAUUCUUUCAGAAUUUUUCAUCAAUAUGUUGUAUUUUUAAAUAAUUUUCUUAAAACCUGCUAUUUUUGGAAAGUUUUCAUUUUUUAGAGAAAUAAUGUGGAUUUGGGUUUGUGAUUUAGAAAUUAGGAUAACAAGAAUAUUUGUGGAUAGAUGAGUAUUCUUUCAUAAUUUUUCAUCAAUAUGUUGUAUUUUUCAAUAGUUUUCUUAAAACCUGCUAUUUUUGGAAAGUUUUUAUUUUUUGAGUAAUAAUGUGGAUUUGGGUUUAUGAUUUAGAAAUUAGAAUAACAAGAAUAUUUGUGGAUAGAUGAGUAUUCUUUCAGAAUUUUUCAUCAAUAUGUGUAUU
rnacentral:lncRNA from 1 species